rnacentral:rRNA from 1 species
GGAUUAGAUACCCUGGUAGUCCACGCCCUAAACGAUGGAUGCUAGGUGUGGGGAUUUUAUCUCCUUGCCGUAGCUAACGCAUUAAGCAUCCCGCCUGGGGAGUACGGUCGCAAGGCUGAAACUCAAAGGAAUUGGCGGGGGCCCGCACAAGCGGUGGAGCACGUGGUUUAAUUCGAUGAUAAGCGAAGAACCUUACCAGGACUUGACAUGUCUACCUAAGCCUAUGCGAAAGCAAUAGGUGGGGCUAAGCUUGCUUAGAAUGGUAUUCACAGGUGCUGCAUGGCUGUCGUCAGCUCGUGCCG